GGGUCUUGUGGCGCCGUACCGCUGGACGCGCCGCGUUCGGGGCUGGAACGUUGGAUCUCGCGCGGCGGCACCGCUGGACGCGCCGCGUUCGGGGCGCGCUGCCGGGGGGACCCCGCGUCUGGCCGGCGGUGUUGUGCAGUCCAGCCUGGGGGGGAGCGGGAAGGCAGGAGGAAGGCAUUGCUGUGGUCCUGGGACAAGAUCCCUCAUCUAACUUGCUGAUUGAGCAGACUGGUGGCAUUCCGGGGACUGGGAGCAGAGUCCUUCCCUCCCGCAAGGACCGCGCAGGCUCUGCUGGCUGUUCUGCCCAGCCAUGCAGUGGGUGGUGAAGCUCUACUUGCUGGGUGCGUUGCUGUCUCUGCUGUCCGUUCUCUUUGGAUUGAUGGACUCCCUGGGCGGCCUGAUGGCCCCUCAGGGCCUGGAGCAGUGCCUCUCCGGCCCAUGGACCGAACCAGAGGGCAGCCUUGCCGAGGGCCAGCCGAAGAUCCUCCAAGGGCAGGUGACGCCAAGGACUAACAAAGCCUUUGGCUCGUACCUCUGAGCUCUGUGGCGGGGGGCUGCUCUGUGACGGCUCGACGUGGUGCUUGGCUCCGGCUUUGGCUCUUCGAGGCAGCGUUGCUGGUGUCUCCCUUCCUCUGAGAUGAAAAGCAGCGAGUUCUCAAGGGCAGGCAGCGGCUGCUGCUGCCACCAAGCUUCUGGCCUGGUACUUGGAUAACGUCCCUGCUAGAAUUACGCGGAGAGCAGGGCUGCUGUGUGGCCCGGGGGUGUCCUGUGCACAAAUCCCUCUCCAGCCCGGCACCCCUACCAUGCAGUGGCUGCCCUUGGCGUGAAUGCUGAACCCGGAGUGCAGGGAGGGUGGUGGGGCCUGGCUUGCGGGGGCUGCCUGGAAAUGCAGUUGCACUGGGUGGUGGGGAGGGACCUGUGCAGGGUGGGUGACCGUGCAGGGGGGAUCUUGAGCUGUUUGAGGUGCUGGUAUGGCCCUAAUGGAAUGCGUCUCCAAGGGCGAUGAUGUCCUAGUCCUUCAUCCCCAGCUGCAAAGCCAGCAGCUGCUCUCCAAGGCUGGAGCCUCCUGGAGCUGCUGCAGCUGCCUGCUCACCCCGUGGGGGCUGGGCUGGGGCUAGCAGAGAGGAGGCUGCAGCUGGUGUGCGCUGUGCGGGGGAGAUGGAACAAGCAGCCCUUGUUAACAUGCCUCCUGCCUGGGCUGGGGGCCCUCCCCUCCCCCUGGGGCCUGCUCGGUCCUUCCAGCUCUGAGCCAGCAAGGGAGGGAUUCUGCUGCACUAGGAGCCCCCCACUCCCUGUGCACCCCGAGCCAGGCAGCCACCCCUCUUAGCUGUGCAGGAAGCGCUGCUCCCCGCUGCCCAGCUGUGAGGUCAGCUCUCCUGUCCCUGGGGCAGCGGCGCUUCUGGGACCUGGAGCCAUUCGCCCCUGAUCCUCUUUCAGGGGGAAGAGGGGCCCCAGGGGCUUUCUGUGCAAAGGAGUCUAGCCCCCCCCCCCCCGCCUGGAAGGGCUUUGAGUCUUUUCCUGCUUGCAACCGCCCCAGUGCUGUGGCUGGGCAGCCUGGAGCUGGGAUAUGUCCCUGCUGAGUGACCCACCCAGAUGCCCUGUAUCCCGGGUGUGAGCAGGUCCCACUGGGGGAGGGGGGGGGAGAGGAGAGAGAGUUCCACCCUGCCCCCAGGCUGGGAGGUACAGCGGGAGCCCCGGUAUAGACAAGGCUGCGGGUUCCCCUCUGCUGGUGUCUGCAGCCCCGGGCUGGCCGUGCGCUGGGAGCCCCUCGGCCUCCCUAGCCAGCAGCAAGAGGCCAAGGCUGCAGGGCCCCCCAGAGGAUUCGGGGCCUGGGGCAAAGCAAUUUCGGGGGGCCCCUUCCAUAAAAAAAAGUUGCCAUACUAUACAACACUGUAUUCUUGGGGGGGGGGCGGCAGGACCUGGGGCAAAUUCCCCCCCCGGGCAGCGCUGCAAGGCUGGGCUUUGGCUUCUGCAUCUUCACCUUCUCAAUGUGCCCAUUAAGUGCCAGCUCCCCUGUCCCUCCAGCUCUGGGCUGCCCUCCCCCUGGGGCCUCCAUUAGUGCAGCUCAGGGGAUCUGCUCCCCAAUGCAAAUGCCUCUGCAGGGCCUGCUGCAGCCGCCUUUCCCCAUGCCUGUGGGGGACGGGCGGGGCUGGCUGGCAGCGAGGGGCCCGGGCCCCAUUCUGGCCCACUGAGGUGGGGCAGGAGGAUCCAUUCCAAGCCCUAGUGCCUAGGAAUUCGGGCAGGGUGGGACUCUCAGCAGGCCUGGGGGUGGUUCCUUGUUUCCUGAGGAGGGGGAUAAUGUGUGGUGGUUUGGGGUGGGGGUCCUGGGCCCUUGGCCAAAGGGAAAACGGCCUGUGUCUGAAUGCUGUGCCUGCUGCUGCUCCCAAGCUUCCUGAAGCCAGGCUACUGGAACCCAGCUGGGUUACGGGGAGGCUCCCCUCCCCCCCCGUGUGUGGGGGGGCUCUCAGCACAGGGUCAGCGCAGGGGAAGCCUGGUGUCAGGCUGCAUCCACGGAUGGUUUGUCUCUUGCCCUGCAGGGCCUGUGGCUGCAGCUGUGUGGUGCUGGGCCUGGCCCCUCUGUCCCCCCACCCUGUGCACUGCCUGAGUGCUGCUGGGGGUCCCGGCCUCUAGUUCUGUGCAAUAAAAAGGAGACGGCUUUGGAGA